rnacentral:rRNA from 1 species
GAUGAACGCUGACGGCGUGCCUAAUACAUGCAAGUCGAGCGAACGGACGAGAAGCUUGCUUCUCUGAUGUUAGCGGCGGACGGGUGAGUAACACGUGGAUAACCUACCUAUAAGACUGGGAUAACUUCGGGAAACCGGAGCUAAUACCGGAUAAUAUUUUGAACCGCAUGGUUCAAAAGUGAAAGACGGUCUUGCUGUCACUUAUAGAUGGAUCCGCGCUGCAUUAGCUAGUUGGUAAGGUAACGGCUUACCAAGGCAACGAUGCAUAGCCGACCUGAGAGGGUGAUCGGCCACACUGGAACUGAGACACGGUCCAGACUCCUACGGGAGGCAGCAGUAGGGAAUCUUCCGCAAUGGGCGAAAGCCUGACGGAGCAACGCCGCGUGAGUGAUGAAGGUCUUCGGAUCGUAAAGCUCUGUUAUUAGGGAAGAACAUAUGUGUAAGUAACUGUGCACAUCUUGACGGUACCUAAUCAGAAAGCCACGGCUAACUACGUG